AACGAACGCUGGCGGCAUGCCUAACACAUGCAAGUCGAACGAGACCUUCGGGUCUCGUGGCGCACGGGUGCGUAACGCGGGGGAACCUGCCCUUAGGUUCGGAAUAACUCCCCGAAAGGGGUGCUCAUACCGGAUAAUGUCUUCGGACCAAAGAUUUAUCGCCUUUGGAUGGGCCGGAGUUGGAUUAGCUGGUUGGUAGGGUAAAAGCCUACCACGGCGACGAUCUAUAGCUGGUCUGAGAGGAUGAUCAGCCACACUGAGACUGAGACACGGCCCAGACUCCUACGGGAGGCAGCAGAGGGGAAUAUUGGACAAUGGGCGAAAGCAUGAUCCAGCAAUGCCGCGUGAGUGAUGAAGGCCGUAGGGUUAUAAAGCUCUUUUACCCGGGAUGAUAAUGACAGUACCGGGAGAAUAAGCACCGGCUAACUCCGUG
rnacentral:rRNA from 1 species